rnacentral:lncRNA from 1 species
AAGGAAAUAAAUAAUAACUUUAUUAUUGCCUCUAGGGCAUAUUUCCUUCAGUUCUAUCAGCUACAUACCUACCUAGCUGAACCACAUGUCCUACACUCUUACUCAACACUAAUGGUUGGGGCGCGCCUCCUCUGCGUCACUUUGUGCAUCAGUUAUACUGAUGUACUUGUUAAUAUUCGAACAUUGCAGUUAAGAUACAAUGAUUAAAAUAGAAGUGCAGCAGAAGAGUUUCCUUUUAUAAAGCAGAGUAGACAUAUAGUAGUUUGAAGAAUGCUAAUAGGUCUAUAUUAUUGGCCUGGCGUAUUCAUCUUUCCGAAGACGCGCUCCCCUGGUGCGGCCAUGUCUCGCGGAUGUUCCAAGCCCUGCGGGUCACCUUAUUGAUCCUGCCAGACCCCACUGUGUAGCUGCUAUCGUUGGCCUUAUCCUCUGUCUCCGAAAACACCGGUCGUCCAGCUCGGUCUGGCCCCUAAUCCACGUCCACCUGCUCUACAGCACAUGGAAGAGAUACGCCCAUGGUUGUGAAUCCAUAGCAUGGAAACCUCCGGAAGGUAGAGUGGGGCACCGUCUGCAUGAAACUGAACAACAAUAUCUUUAGGCGAUUAAACUGCAAAUCCAGAUUGACACUAAGCGAUUGAAUCACGUCCACGUAUUAUCCCAACACCAGCAUAUAUAUGCUGCGCAUUUUCUUUAAGGCAAAAAAAUAACUUCUUCAAGGGUAAGCAAUUGAUGAAAGCAUCUCUCUCUCUAAUUUAUCAGAUUUGUCGCUCAUCAUUGAAGUAUCUUCGAAUGAUUCAGGAGAAAAUCAUCAUUCCUUGAGAUCAUAUUUUCUAUGUACUAAAAUGUAAAAGAUCAAUCUUCUAUCAGAUUUACAUGUCAUUACCUUGUCCUAGUUGACGUCAUUGCUGGACGAACAAAUGAACCAGCCCCUUUCUAUACGCUACAAUGAUGUGAUCAUCAUGGAUUACAAGAAAGUAGGCUAGUUCAAUCUUGAAAUGACAUCUCCCACAGUAUUCAGAGUAAAAUCUAUACCAUUAAGCAUGUGAGUCAAAUAGAUUCGCAUAAAAAAAUUGGAGGUUCGCAUAUAUUGAAGCAUGAGCUGCACCCUGAUGACACUACAGAUAUAGAAAGUAUAUAGUUUCAACUUUCAACAACUCUGAAGGCUUAAGCUCAGGAAUUUCCUUUUGUCAAACACACACCUGAAUGUGUGUUUCUUGUCUUUUGCUCAGGAAUUUACAAGUACUGUAAAAAAAUACUAAAACUGAAUUUAUCCUCAUCAAACUAAAAAACAUUCUUACUCAAUACUGUACGAACCAUGGUCUUGAAGCUCAUGCAUGUUCCCUAUUUUCAGUUAUAAACUUAUAAUUAUAAAUAAUUCUGACAUCGCUUUAAAUAGUACCCACAGUCUUGACAAAAUACUACUGCAAAUAAUUGAUAUUGAUGUCACUAUCAGUUGGUGGGAAAAAAAUUAACUCGAGUAUAUCCACAAAGCAGAUCAAUAGAUGGUAGAAAACAAAUGACGACAAGAACGGUUAUUCCAGCACUAAUAUAUGUAAUACUUCUGGGCAGUUCAGAUUAAUGGAAGAUAUUAGUAACUCAAUCCAGAGUUGGUAAUUAAGAAAGCAAUUAAUCUCUUACUGAAUAUAGAAAAUUCCGAGGGCAAACCAAAGUAGAAAACCUAUCUCUGACAACCCAUAUCCCAAAGAAACAGAACAAGCCCCGGUGCCAAGCGUAAUCAAAGUUCAUGUUAUAGGAUGACGAAGCUCACAUUUCCUUUUGGAACCUGAUUUUGCAUUUUCAGAAUCUUUGGAUGGUUGCGGCUUUAAUGAGAACAUAGUUAGAUGCCUAUGUCCACCCACUUGUUUAAUAGUACUGAAGUCAUGAAAAAUAUUCUGCUGAGUUAGCUAUGAAUUUCAGCAUAGAGUCAAGGUACAGUAAUAAACUGCAUCCUUAUUAAAAACAAGCACAUUUGUAUUCCAUCUUUCACGCUCGUAUGUACUUGCAACUCGAUCAACUGGCCUCUCAUGUCUCCUUAAUUCUUAUUUAUAAACGAGUAUCAUCAUAUCUAAGGGUAGUAUUAUUGAUUUUCUGUGGAGGAGGCAGAGUUGCACCUACUCACAGCAUGACCAACAUGAUAUGACGUAGAGGCCGGAAUCAUAGUAUUUCUAGAGUACUUGCUCCCUAAUUAAUUUAACUGGAUAGUUUAUGUCACCUGUGUGGCAUGUAUAACCUAUCUUAGAAAUAUUUGCACUAAAUUUUUAAUUAUGUGUGCUUAGAUUUCCUGCUCUUUUGUUUACUGUAUAUAGGUGACACAUGCUGACUUGAAAACGCUAACAAGAAGAUCAUGUUCAAGAAAGAUGGCAUAGUACAGGGGCCUUUAAUGUGAGACUGUUUAGACCUCACACUCGUGACCGCAGUUUAGUGUAACUAGAAGAUACCCCGCACGUUGCUGCGACAAAUUAUGGUUACAAAUUGAUUAAAUUAAAAAUAUAACACAUGGCUAUAUAGUAUUUAAAUGGUUAGCUCUUGGUUGUGCUUGUGCAUGACAGAAGAAAUCAUAAGUGAACAACCGUAUAGAGCCCCUUAAUGUGAAAACAAAUGGCAUUGGUAAUCUGUCAUUGUCGCAACUGCAAGCACGAAUAUAAUACUCUCUGUUCACAAAUAUAAGAUCUUUAACCUUUUUCUGAUUCAGAAGUAUAUAAGCGCAUUUUGGUGUGUUUGUUCACUCAUUUCAGUUUAUACAUAGUCCAUAUUGAAAUAUACAUAUAUUAGUGAAUGGAUGGAGUAAAACAAAAUAGGCCAAAAUCAAUUAUACUGCAAUAAAUUAUAGCCGAGAAAAUACUCCAGGAAACAAUACAAACUUAAUAUUAAGAUAGCUUGUUCAAUGAGAAAUACACACCUAAAUAAGGCUCUCGCCAACAGAUUACAUGAACGUUUAGUUUGCUUCUUGGAUGUUGCCUAACCUGUUUUUGUUUCUCUGGUUUUCCUGUGUAUAAAACACCUUGACAAUGAGUAAGAAGCACAUGUAUAACAUUUUAUGUAUGUAUGGUUACAGAAAUCACGGCAGUAAAAUAUUUUUAGCAUUCUUACAUGAUCAACAAUAGUCUUCAAAUCAGGUAGUAAAAGACUUAAAAAUAAUAUGUGUAGAAAAAACAUGAGGGAGAUGGGAUUAUUAUUCUUUGAUUACAUUAUAAAGAUUACACUGGUCAACGGUACCUCAGUUGCAGCUGUUUGAAUUUUCAUCAACCACCUUGUCGACAUCAGAAAAUAAAGAUCUGCACAAACAACAUAAGAGUGGUGACUUAAUUUCAGUAGACUAAUGCAGCCCCAAGAUGUUGGUAUUACUACUCAAAUAAAAACAAAUAGUCAAAGACUAAUCAAAUUAGAUAUAAGCAGCAACACAUGCAGGCAGAUGACCGCUGGAUGUUGUGUAAAGGGAUGGCGACCAGCUUACUCACCACUCGCGAGUGGAACGGAGAGGACAUUGCGCAUGGUUCAGGGAGAAUAACGUAUGCAAAUUCAGAGAUUUCAAGCUAAUAGAAUUCAGAGAUCUACUUGACUCAAGCUCAUCUGAUCGUGGAUUAGGACCAUUUUUACAGCCAGCUAGCCAUACCUAUCGUACUGUAGAACCAAAAGGAGUACUACUUGCUCUUGUUAAUUAGACUCUUCCCGAGUCUGUCCUAUUCAGAACGGAGUACCUCAUGUCGGUACACUUUCCCAUCAGCGUUCAUAAACUGCAAAAAAAAAUACACACAUGCAUACAUACUUCGGCAUAAGAUAGAUUCACAGGAACAAAAUAACUGCACACCAUCUCCUUGUAAAAAAAAAUUAUGUCUAGCAGAUGCCCUUAUUAUCUUUGAUUUAGCAGAACAGGAACCCGUUGCAAAGAUACUAGUUGGAGUGGUAUAUUCUUCAGCCUUAUGUGUAUAACGCUCUUGCCGAGGGUUGAAUGUCCCGAGCGUCCGUCUGAUUCUCAACUACAAAACGAAACAUUUACAGAUACUCCCUCCUUCCAUCUAUAUAGGGCCUAAUGCAUUUUUUAAGACCACCUUUGACCAUUGAUAAGAUUAAUAGUACAUGACAUGCACAAUGUGAAAAUUAUAUCAUUGAAAGCUACUUUCACACACGAAUUUAACGGUGUGCUUUGUGUAAAUUGCAUGUCAUAUAUUAUAGUUCUAAUAUUUAGUCAAAGUUAGCCUCGAAAAACGCAUUAGACCCUAUAUAGAUGAAAGGAGGGAGUAACAUAUAACCUAGCUUACAGUCAAUGAACUAAUUUCUUAUUGAACAAUCCUAACUAGCCAUACCCGCGCGGCGGCACGCCGCGCCCCGUUGAUACGUCAUAUUUAUACGUCAUAUUUGUACGUCGCUUUUGUUUUAUGCAGUGAAUUCCAAUUUGAAGUAAGAAAUCACAAGAGUGUGAAAUGAGCGGUUUUAACACCUCCUCUUUUCAUAUGCUCAUGGGAAUAAGAGUGUGAAAGGAUCAGGGUCCAUAUUAUGGGAACAAGAAUGUGAAAGGAUCACGGUCCAUAUUAUGAGCGGUUUUAACACCUCCUCUUUUCAUAUGCUCAUGUGAAAUACUCGUGAAAAUGCCAUUAAACAUAGAAUUUAUAUCAUAGCAUAAAGAGGGCACGCAUAUAUGGAUGUUUCUGAAGUCUUGUAAAGGGUAAUCUUCAUGUUUGCAAGCUAGAUGACAGAGAUGGGAUUCUUGACGCUGUAGGAGGCCAUGUAGGGAUCAACAAAACAUAAUUGCUGUUUAUAACAGGUGGAACCUUCCAUCGUUUGCUCCCACUGAGAUGGCAAAAUGUCCUUGCAUCACUACAACCUUUUGGUCGUAUAAGGAAAAUAGCGAAAAAAGCCGCCAAAACAAACAUUUUUAUCAUUAUGAUACAUUGGCACUAUAUUUAUGCGUCCAUUAAAAUUAAGUUUGUUGUAUCAAUAAUCUACAGACUUUUGGAAGGAAAACAGAGCAUAUGGAAUCAAAAUCUAUUGUUCAGUUUUACAUUUAUCCCCAAGAACAAAACACAACGUUGAACCAACUUUUGGAGGAAAAAACUGUCGGGGGAACUGAUCCACGAACACCUAUGGGGAUCGGGCCCCUUUCGGUUCGGUGGGAGGCGGAGAGCGCACAAAGAGCGGAUCGAGACGGUGCACGCGGGCGGUUUUACCCAGCUUCGGGCCGCACGGAUGCGUAAAACCCUACUGCUGCUUGUUUGUGUGUAUUGAACCUUUGCUCAGGAGCGAUCGACGCUACCAGACUGAGCGUGGGAGUGUUUCUGGUGUCUCCAAUGAGCCGAACUGGCCGGACCUCCUCUACGUUGCGCUUGGGCCUCCUUUUAUACUUUCAAGGGGUCACCGACAGGUGGCAACGUAGACUAGAAGGGUAAAAAUGGAAAAGGAUGCGGUAGGUGCAGCUACCGCUACUGUGGAUACAGUGCGCCCUACCUAACUCUGACGGCAGGGGACAAAGGCAUUAAAUGCCUGUCUGAGUCUCCCAAACAGUGCAAAAGGUGACCGUGAGGAGCGCCACCGCUUGCCACGAUGGGCUUCUCUUCAUCUCCGCUUGCCACCACGUACCCCUAGCUGCACGGCCUCCUGCCACGUGUGCUUGGGAGAGUCCCAGAGCGACACGUUAGCAGGUGUGCUGGAGCGCGGGCCCGAAGUGGGGGUUUCCCGCGGCAAGCUCCUUGCCGCGGCCGUCGUCUUGUCGCGUCCGGAAGCUUGUCGCUCGCCGGAUCUUGCCGGGACGCAGGGCGCGUCGCAGCAAGCUUUCUUGGUAUGCCUUGAGUAGCCUUCCCGGCAAGCUCCUCUUGCCGGGGUCAUGUCUCUUCCCGGCAAGAUCCUCUUGCAGGGGCCUUGGUAGUCCUUCCCGGCAAGCUCCUCUUGCCGGGGCCUUGGUUGGCCCUCCCGGUAAGCUCCUCUUGUCGGGACCUUGGUUUGAGUACUUUGUUCUUGAAUGGUCUUCAAGGGAACCACGGAGGGUCUUGGCGGUCACCCGGCAAGCCUUGCCGCGGGGUGCUGCGACUGCCCGUGCACAAGUUCGGGGUACUAGGGUACCCCUACUCUAGUACACCGACAGGAGCCUCCGGGCCUGGGCCAUACACGGUGCCGAGCGCCGUUGGGCCAGGCCCAAAACAGUGCACGGGCACGCGCGGCCUAGGUCACGCCGCAUAUCUCUCCGCUCCCACCGCGCACGCCCAGAACGGCACGCGUCAAACGCGGCGUCGUGGGAGAGAUCAUGGGAGGUGUGCGCGGGGCUAAGCCCCUCAAGCAUGCGCCAGGCCACGAUGAUGGGGACGGUUCACGCCCUCCUCUCUAAACGGAGGUAGGUGUGGGGGCGUGAUGCAUUUACUGGACGGGGCCGGUGCAUGGUUUUCGGGACGUCCACUCCCCGCGUUCACGGGGCGGAGCGAGGCCGCCUCAUCUGUCGCCUUGGUUCUGCAUCUCCGCCACGCGGCUCCCAUGCGCUUGGGGUCACGGACGGUGGAGUGGGAAACUGGGUCGUCGCGAGCAGAGGCAGCGGGUUGGCCCUGACUCCCUGCCCUUCCCGUGCCUUGAUUCGCUGAGCGGGGCGGCCGAGCCCCCACCUCGCUCCUUUAUAAAGAGCGGGAUGGGAGCACAGAAACCCGCACUCUCGCAUCUUCUCUUUUCUUCAGCUUCUGCUCCCCUUUCUCUCAUCUGCCAUGGAGAAAGGGAACCCAGGCCCUUCAUCGGUGGCGGCGAGGGUCGCCACCAGACAGCGCAUCUCUCCCUCUUCCGCGCCCGUGGUGGCAGAGCCAGCCAUAAGGGGAAGAGGGAGAGGGCGAGGUCGCGGACGAGGUCGAGGACGAGGUCGAGGCGCUCGGGGAAGAGGUGGACGGGGCGGCGUGUCAGCUUCACCUCCGCCGGCGGCUCCUCCCCCCACGGCGGUCCAUAUAGGGGACGACCCUUGCGAGUUCUUCGUCAGGCUGCGCCGGGCGCCUCGUCGUCGCCUCCGGCUUCCAGCUCCGUUUGCGCGCGCGAUGGAGUUGGACCCGCCCGAGACACUGAGAUUGCACAUGAGGGGCUGUGGGAUCAACGGCACGCGAGUCCGUGUUGCAUUCCCAGCCCCUAAUGUGAUGUAUCUUGAUUGAGGGUGGAAGACGUUCGCCCGCAUCCACAGCUUGACGGAGGGGUUUACCCUCCAUUUUAAGUUGAUGGAGGGCGAUCUCCUCUCCGUCAAGGCCUUCGGGUGCUUCGGCACUCGGGCGAAGUGCUGCGUGGACAGCUCCUCCGACAGCGAAGGCUCCUCCUCGAGCGAGAGCGACGAGGAGGGGAGCGACAGCGACGAUGAGGGUAGCGGGCGGCGGAGCGGCGGGUCCGACUAGGCGUCGGGCGCCGCUUUGCGCGGCACCGGCGACCCCAUCAUCCGCGUCGCCGGCUUCUUGAACUCCCCGGGGUCGUCUCCUUGGGCGGCUGGCGUAGGGACGCUGCGGAAGGGGAAGAGGGCUGGCGACAAGGCCGUCAGGUCGGAGUACGAGGGCGUGGUGCCCUCGACAGCGUGCUGACGCCCUGCCGCCCCGUCUUCGAGCCCCGCUUCCAGCGCCGUCGUCGCCGUCCAGCCUUCGGACGACCCCCGGGAUGUUCCCUUGGUGUCUUCUGGCACCCUAGCUCGCCUAGGCACUCCUUUUGCCCUUUUCGCCUCCUUGACCUGUCUCAUGAAGAGAAGGACAGGAAAGGGAUUACGGGCAUCUCAUCUUUUUAAUUUGUAAGCCUUCAGGCCUUAGCUGUAUCUAAAACUUGUAAUCCUCUCUUUCAUGUUUUUCAUCCUCUAUGGACUGUACCUGAGUGGGAUAUUUUUUUAAUGAAAAGGGAAUGCUUGCCGGGUUAUUUGUCUCGUGAGUUAAACCCACGCCAAGGAGCAAAUCCUUGGUAUCCCUCGGACAGACAUUUCAUCUCCCGGCAACAGGCCCUGCCGCCUUCCCACGUCGCUCAACCUUUCUCACACUUUUGACGGAGGCAGGAACGAGGUGGGUGCGGUCUCCUCGUUUCAUCCCUUUGCUGCCGCGACUACGACCGAACUUGGCCCCGAGAACGAGUCCCAGGGCCUAGAGUUGAGGGAGCAUGGCAGUUUUCGGGAAGAAACGUGGUUUCGCAUUCCCCAGUCCAUAAGAGGAUGCAUGAUGAGGGAUAAAAGACUUAUCUGAUAUUGCAGCCCCCGGCAACUCUGGUUUGCCGUGGACGAUUCUUGGCACUCGCAGCCCCCAGCGAUAUUGGCUUGCCGGGAAGGCUUUUAUCUUCAGCAGAGAACUUUGACGUUUUCGAUGCCGGCUUCCGGCAAGCUCGUUGCCAGGAAGGCUUUUAUCUUCAGCAGAGAACUUCGGCGUUCUCGAUGCCGGCUUCCGGCAAGCUCGUUGCCAGGAAGGCUUUUAUCUUCGACAGAGAACUUUAACAUUCUCGAUGCCGGCUUCCGGCAAGCUUGUUGCCAGGAAGGCUUUUAUCUUCAGCAGAGAACUUUGACGUUCUCGAUACCGGCUUCCGGCAAACUUGUUGCCAGGAAGGCUUUUAUCUUCAGCAGAGAACUUUGACGUUCUCGAUGCCGGCUUCCGGCAAGCUUGUUGCCAGGAAGGCUUUUAUCUUCGGCAGAGGACUUUGACGUUCUCGAUGCCGGCUUCCGGCAAACUUGUUGCCAGGAAGGCUUUUGUCUUCGGCAGAGAACUUUGACGUUCUCGAUGCCGUCUUCCGGCAAGCUUGUUGCCAGGAAGGCUUAUGGCGAAGAACGUCGUCGUUCUUGACACCGGCUCCGGGCAAGAUCGUUGCCGGAAAGGCUUAUGGCGAAGAACGUCGUCGUUCUUGACACUGGCUCCCGGUAAGAUCGUUGCCGGAAAGGCUUAUGGCGAAGAACGUCGUCGUCCUUGACACCGGCUCCCGGCAAGAUCGUUGCCGGAAAGGCUUAUGGCGAAGAACUUCAUCGUUCUUGACGCCGGCUCCCGGCAAGAUCGUUGCCGGAAAGGCUUAUGGCGAAGAACUUCGUCGUUCUUGACGUCGGCUCCCGGCAAGAUCGUUGCCGAAAAGGCUUAUGGCGAAGAACUUCGUCGUUCUUGACGCCGGCUCCCGGCAAGAUCGUUGCCGGAAAGGCUUAUGGCGAAGAACUUCGUCGUUCUUGACGCCAGCUCCCGGCAAGAUCGUUGCCGGAAAGGCUUAUGGCAAAGAACUUCGUCGUUCUUGACGCCGGCUCCCGGCAAGAUCGUUGCCGGAAAGGCUUAUGGCGAGGAAUUUCGUCGUUCUUGAUGCCGAAAAGAUUGGCCCUAAGGGCGUUGCCAGCCCCCGGGCCAUAACUGCGUUCAAACAUAGCAAGUGAUUAGCAUCCGAAGUGCACUUAACUCGCUUGCGAAUUUUGACUUCUGCUACAUAUUCCCUAUGCCUGCUGGAAUGCUUUCCGGUGCGUGUGAUCCAGCCAGCAGCGCUUGAGGGAACGGGCCCUUAGCGGCUAUUCGGGAACAUCGCCUCCCGGAAAGGUUUACCUUCUUGGUUCUAGCGCAACCGCACAAGUUGCUGAGCGGACUCGAGGCAACAUGGAGCGCAACUAGCCCCGAGAAGGCUCCUUGGCAUACAGGUCUAUGCAGAAAUCUCAAAUAAAUAGUGCAUGCUAUCUUCCUGUUCAACCUCUCUUUGUACGUCCACCCUACGCUUUCUAGGGAAACUUGCCGGUGCAGGCACCCUUGCCGCGAGCGCCGAGUGCGGAACUUCAGCAGCCUGCUGGCGGGGUUGCUACCGACAAGCAAUCUUGUCGCAGCUAGUUGCAGCUCGCUUAAGCUGUUGAGCGGACUCGAAACAAAGUAAGGGCGCUAGCGGCUCACUUAAGUUGCUGAGCGGACUCGAAGCAAAGUAAGGGCGCUAGCAGCUCACUUAAGUUGUUGAGUGAACUCGAAACAAAGUAAGGGCGCAACUAGCUACGAGUUGAUUCCUCCGCGCACAGGUUUUCCGUACAAAGAACAAGAUCUCUGAGGCGGAUAACUUUAUAUAGAAAGGAAAUAUCUAAAGUUUCGCACGACUUAGCUUUUCUGUUGCCGCACUGGCGCCGUUCUUUCGCUCGCCCGCUCCUUAGGAGCCAUGACGAUGAAGAACAGCUGAGCCCUGGCGUGGACGGAACAGCUGCCUCCGAAUCCUUCUUCUUCGGUGGCAUGUCGAUGAAGACGAUGAAGAUUUAGCUUGCGUGCACGCUGGAUCGGGUUCGCACAAUCUCGACGCCCCCUACCUGGCGCGCCAAAGAUGUCGGGGGAACUGAUCCACGAACACCUAUGGGGAUCGGGCCCCUUUCGGUUCGGUGGGAGGCGGAGAGCGCACAAAGAGCGGAUCGAGGCGGUGCACGCGGGCGGUUUUACCCAGCUUCGGGCCGCACGAAUGCGUAAAACCCUACUGCUGCUUGUUUGUGUGUAUUGAACCUUUGCUCAGGAGCGAUCGACGCUACCAGACUGAGCAUGGGAGUGUUUCUGGUGUCUCCAAUGAGCCGAACUGGCCGAACGUCCUCUACAUUGCGCUUGGGCCUCCUUUUAUACUUUCAAGGGGUCACCGACAAGUGGCAACGUAGACUAGAAGGGUAAAAAUGGAAAAGGAUGCGGUAGGUGCAGCUACCGCUACUGUGGAUACAGUGCGCCCUACCUAACUCUGACGGCAGGGGACAAAGGCAUUAAAUGCCUAUCUGAGUCUCCCAAACAGUGCAAAAGGUGACCGUUAGGAGCGCCACCGCUUGCCACGAUGGGCUUCUCUUCAUCUCCGCUUGCCACCACGUACCCCUAGUUGCACGGCCUCCUGCCACGUGUGCUUGGGAGAGUCCCAGAGCGACACGUUAGCAGGUGUGCUGGAGCGCGGGCCAGAAGUGGGGGUUUCCCGCGGCAAGCUCCUUGCCGCGGCCGUCGUCUUGUCGCGUCCGGAAGCUUGUCGCUUGCCGGAUCUUGCCGGGACGCAGGGCGCGUUGCAGCAAGCUUUCUUGGUAUGCCUUGAGUAGCCUUCCCGGCAAGCUCCUCUUGCCGGGGUCUUGUCUCUUCCCGGCAAGAUCCUCUUGCCGGUGCCUUGGUAGUCCUUCCCGACAAGCUCCUCUUGCCGGGGCCUUGGUUGGCCCUCCCGGCAAGCUCCUCUUGCCGGGACCUUGGUUUGAGUACUUUGUUCUUGAAUGGUCUUCAAGGGAACCACGGAGGGUCUUGGCGGUCACCCGGCAAGCCUUGCCGCGGGGUGCUGCGACUGCCCGUGCACAAGUUCGGGGUACUAGGGUACCCCUACUCUAGUACACCGACAAAAACAGAACAUAUGGAAUUAAAAUCUGAUGUUCAGUUUCUCAUUUAUCCCGAGGAACUAACACUCAAUAUUGACCUAUCAACAUAAAAAGGUAAACAGAACCAAGUACCAAAUAUUCUGCAGUAACUAUCAUCCCAUAAUUUGCAAUCGCAGUAUUACUGCUCCAUAUCAUUAGUAAUCUUACUUCUGACUUGGGAACUUACACCAACCAAUGCAACAUGUUUGAAUUUGUAUUGCAUUUAGAGCCACAAUUACCUGCAAACAGGAGGAAGAAAUAAAUCAUGCUUCAAAUAAAAGGAUAUCAAAGCCAUACUUUUGGUAGAGAAGGAAUCAUACAUGUUGAAACGUGAUUCACAGGGAGAUCUUCAGGCUGCCUUGGGCGCUACUUUUAGUUAAUAGAGAUAGAUUCUCUUUGUAUGUUUAUCUUGUAUCUCUCUCUCUCUCUCUCUGUUAUCCCUCCUAUGACCAAUACCUUGUAAUCCAUCGUGAGGACUCUUCCUCAUCGUUCAAUAUAAUAGCGAGGGCUCCCUUCCAGGGAACCUGAGACGCUUCAUAGAAAUCUUACAUGGUAUACAGAGCAGGCUCUUCCCAUCACAUCUAGCUUAUCCACCUUGACCGAUCAUCAUCAUCAACCUCCAUCGAUCAUCCCCAUCGCAACCAUCUCCACCUCCGCUGCUAUUCCCUCCACCGGCCUCAACUACAACAUAUCUGAGCCUCUCACUAGGACGAAUUAUAUCCUCUGGCGAGUUCAAGCCCGAUCCCAAAUAAUGGGCGCUGGCUUGUACGGCUACAUCGACAAAACCAUAGAGGAGC